rnacentral:ncRNA from 2 species
GGGUGUCUGGCUGCCCUGUGAGCGGCCAGACAGGUUUCAUGUGUUGGUCGGGCCGCCGCA